rnacentral:rRNA from 1 species
GCGUAACGCGUAUGCAACCUACCUUCAACAGGGGAAUAGCCCAGAGAAAUUUGGAUUAAUGCCCCAUGGUAAGGGGAUGUCUCCUGACAUCCACUUUAAAGCUUCGGCGGUUGAAGAUGGGCAUGCGUUCUAUUAGCUAGAUGGUGUGGUAACGGCACACCAUGGCUACGAUAGAUAGGGGCCCUGAGAGGGGGAUCCCCCACACUGGUACUGAGACACGGACCAG